GGCGAACGCUGGCGGCGUGCUUAACACAUGCAAGUCGAACGGAAAGGCCCUGCUUUUGUGGGGUGCUCGAGUGGCGAACGGGUGAGUAACACGUGAGUAACCUGCCCCUGACUUUGGGAUAACUUCAGGAAACUGGGGCUAAUACCGGAUAGGAGCUCCUGCUGCAUGGUGGGGGUUGGAAAGUUUCGGCGGUUGGGGAUGGACUCGCGGCUUAUCAGCUUGUUGGUGGGGUAGUGGCUUACCAAGGCUUUGACGGGUAGCCGGCCUGAGAGGGUGACCGGCCACAAUGGGACUGAGAUACGGCCCAGACUCCUACGGGAGGCAGCAGUGGGGAAUAUUGCACAAUGGGCGGAAGCCUGAUGCAGCAACGCCGCGUGCGGGAUGACGGCCUUCGGGUUGUAAACCGCUUUCGCCUGUGACGAAGCGUGAGUGACGGUAAUGGGUAAAGAAGCACCGGCUAACUACGUG
rnacentral:rRNA from 1 species